GUGGGGAAUCUUAGACAAUGGGGGAAACCCUGAUCUAGUCAUGCCGCGUGAGCGAUGAAGGCCUUAGGGUUGUAAAGCUCUUUCAGCUGGGAAGAUAAUGACGGUACCAGCAGAAGAAGCCCCGGCUAACUCCGUGCCAGCAGCCGCGGUAAUACGGAGGGGGCUAGCGUUGUUCGGAAUUACUGGGCGUAAAGCGCGCGUAGGCGGACCAGAAAGUUGGAGGUGAAAUCCCAGGGCUCAACCUUGGAACUGCCUUCAAAACUCCUGGUCUGGAGUUCGAGAGAGGUGAGUGGAAUUCCGAGUGUAGAGGUGAAAUUCGUAGAUAUUCGGAGGAACACCAGUGGCGAAGGCGGCUCACUGGCUCGAUACUGACGCUGAGGUGCGAAAGCGUGGGGAGCAAACAGGAUUAGAAACCCCAGUAGUCC
rnacentral:rRNA from 1 species